GAUGAACGCUGGCGGCGUGCCUAAUACAUGCAAGUCGAGCGAACAGAUAAGGAGCUUGCUCCUUUGACGUUAGCGGCGGACGGGUGAGUAACACGUGGAUAACCUACCUAUAAGACUGGGAUAACUUCGGGAAACCGGAGCUAAUACCGGAUAACAUAUUGAACCGCAUGGUUCAAUAGUGAAAGGCGGCUUUGCUGUCACUUAUAGAUGGAUCCGCGCCGUAUUAGCUAGUUGGUAAGGUAACGGCUUACCAAGGCAACGAUACGUAGCCGACCUGAGAGGGUGAUCGGCCACACUGGAACUGAGACACGGUCAAGACUCCUACGGGAGGCAGCAGUAGGGAAUCUUCCGCAAUGGGCGAAAGCCUGACGGAGCAACGCCGCGUGAGUGAUGAAGGUCUUCGGAUCGUAAAACUCUGUUAUCAGGGAAGAACAAAUGUGUAAGUAACUAUGCACAUCUUGACGGUACCUGAUCAGAAAGCCACGGCUAACUACGUG
rnacentral:rRNA from 1 species